CACCAAAGCAUGGCAGAGCAGAUAUUUUCUCAGUCUCUUGCACUUGAUGUUUGUGUGUAAGAAUAGCUCCUAAGGGCAGCCUGUCCUGAAACAUCCAUCAAAGACUUGGCAGAAGAAUUGGAGCUAGGACUAUUAAAUGGAAAAGUAAUGGAAAGGCACGCAGUGUCCAAAGCUAUAAAAGAGCACCAAUGAAAAGCACACCAGAAACUUGGAAAAAAAAAUCUCCAAAACCUGCCAAACUCACAAGAAGGUCCACUAAGAGAUUUCCACACAGAAAUGCAGCUGAGAUACCACUACUGUUACUAAAUGCAAUAUAAGAGUCCAAUCUGCUAAUGACUUUAAAGAGAGAUCAUUCCUGGAUUAAGCUAUGGAGGACAGAUUGAAUUUAAAAAUUGUCCUUUCAUUCUUUGAUCUACAAACUCAGAAGUGGAUGAUGUAAAUCACUGGGUGGCAACUGACACCAAGGAAUUGAAAGAAGAGUCUGUUUAGCUGUCAGCUUGAUGCAUCUGGCUGGCUGUGUGGUUAUAAUGGUAUCACAGUGUCUUGGGGAACUACUGAAUCACCCUGUAACAGAAGGUUGUCUGUGUCUCGGUGUGCAAAGUAAUAAAGCGGUAUACAGAAGAAAAUAUUAGACAGCUAUACUCCUCAGGCCAAUUUGUCUCACAGCUAUACUACAGUAAAUCAGAAAUAAUU